CGGACGGGUGAGUAAUGCUUGGGAAUCUGGCUUAUGGAGGGGGAUAACUACGGGAAACUGUAGCUAAUACCGCGUAAUAUCUUCGGAUUAAAGGGUGGGACUUUCGGGCCACCUGCCAUAAGAUGAGGCCAAGUGGGAUUAGGUAGUUGGUGGGGUGAAGGCCUACCAAGCCGACGAUCUCUAGCUGGUCUGAGAGGAUGACCAGCCACACUGGAACUGAGACACGGUCCAGACUCCUACGGGAGGCAGCAGUGGGGAAUAUUGCACAAUGGGGGGAACCCUGAUGCAGCCAUGCCGCGUGAAUGAAGAAGGCCUUCGGGUUGUAAAGUUCUUUCGGUGAUGAGGAAGGUGUUUGUUUUAAUAGAGCAAGCAAUUGACGUUAGUCACAGAAGAAGCACCGGCUAACUCCGUGCCAGCAGCCGCGGUAAUACGGAGGGUGCGAGCGUUAAUCGGAAUGACUGGGCGUAAAGGGCACGCAGGCGGUGACUUAAGUGAGAUGUGAAAGCCCCGAGCUUAACUUGGGAAUUGCAUUUCAUACUGGGUCGCUAGAGUAUUUUAGGGAGGGGUAGAAUUCCACGUGUAGCGGUGAAAUGCGUAGAGAUGUGGAGGAAUACCGAAGGCGAAGGCAGCCCCUUGGGAAUAUACUGACGCUUCAUGUGCGAAAGCGUGGGGGA
rnacentral:rRNA from 1 species